rnacentral:rRNA from 1 species
UACGUAGGGGGCAAGCGUUAUCCGGAUUUACUGGGUGUAAAGGGAGCGUAGACGGCAUAUAAAGUCUGAAGUGAAAACCCGCAGCUCAACUGCGGAGUUGCUUUGGAAACUUAUAAGCUGGAGUGUCGGAGGGGUAAGCGGAAUUCCCAGUGUAGCGGUGAAAUGCGUAGAUAUUGGGAGGAACACCGGAGGCGAAGGCGGCUUACUGGAAGAUAACUGACGUUGAGGCUCGAAGGCGUGGGUAGCAAACAGG